rnacentral:lncRNA from 1 species
AGAAAAACACAGAUAUGGUGGUUGACACAGUCCUAAAAAAUGGAGUCAUGGAGGUAAGUACAUACUGCUCUUUGGAGAAACAUGGUUGUAAGGUGAACGAAAAACUAAGGUGUACACUAGAAGGAAACAGAGCGACAAAAUAGGAGAUGCUGAAAGAAAAAGAGAAGUUGAAAUACAGAAGAGAAGAGACGCAAUGUAAGCUUCCCAAAGAAAUGAGAAGAUGUGAUUCAAAGAACAGAUGGUAGGUUUAACAUUUGAAAUGUAGGACAACAAUUUAGCUAAAAUAGAAAGGGAAGAGGUAAGGCUGGCUCUGACUAUAUUUACACUUGUUUGUGUUUUGGGGAGAGAAAGGAAGUGGAGAACGUUCUUGCAAGAUGAUCUGUAUUUUCUCUCUAAAGCAGAGUUCAUUUGCUGAGAAUGAUGGAGAAAAUCAGCAUCUAGCUAAUCAGCUGACCAUGAGAUGCAGAGAUUAUCUGGAAUUAUCCAGAUUGGUCCAUUUAAUUACAUGAGUCCUUAAAAGUGGAAAGUGGAAGAAGAGGCAGAAGAGUGUGUCAGAGAGAUGCUGUGUGAAAAGGACUCAACCUGCCACUUGAGGCUUUGAGGCUGGAGAAAGGGGCCAUGAACCAAGGAUUGUGAGCAGCCUGUAAAAUCUGGAAAAGACAAGGCAAUACCCUUUGCUGUCUCAGGGUCAAACAUGCAACUCCUGCCUGCUUGUAUGGCCAGCUGGGUUCAAGAAGGAAGGAACCUCAUUGUUGACAGUUACCAGAUGAAUGUGCCCCUUCUGUACAGCUAAGAAAUGGAAUAGACAUUGGUAACCUUCCACAGGCCCACACAUGUGUUAUCAGCCAUACCUUAGGACAGAAGGAAUGAGUUUGCAGAAAGGAUGCUCUUCAGAACUCAUGAAGACAUAAGGUGCUUCAAAAGAGGAGACUUUCGGAACAUGAGCAGGGAAAUUGUCACUUGAUAGAUGACAAGCAUUGUGAGAAACAACAGUUUGCCUUUCUUCAUUCCCUUCCUGGUUAUCUUUCCUGUCACAUGAAGAAGAAAUGAAACACCAGAGAGAAUCAGGUUAUCAUCAUCUACACCAGCCACUGUCACUGACAACUCCAGGAAGGAAAUUGGUAGACUCAACGUCCAGGGAACCUACGAAUCUGCUAUCCCAAGCCUUCUGCCCCCAAACACUUCACCCUGAAAUACAGCCCAGAGCAUGCACUCAGUGAGUCCCACUGAAGAAGAGACGGAAGGCAGAACUGAACAAGAUGUGUCCAGAAGAGGUAGCCAUAGAUCAUGGACAUGACCAAAAGAAGCUUACUUUAUUUUCAACCCUACAACCAUACUGAGAAUUUAGCCCUGGGGACAUCUUCCGAUAUAAUCUGGCAUAGAAGAGUGGUUAUCACACCUUUAGCAUGGGACCCUUGAGACACCUUUGCUGUGAAUAAUGGAGAAGCAAAAGGAGUUACUAAUGAAGACAAACUAAACCUGAGAACAGAGAGAGCCUAACUAUGUGCUCCAGAAGUGCCAUGUGUGUCUAAGGUAGGUCCAAAGGUAUGAGUCUAGAGAUAUUAUGUAUAAAACACCUAAUUGAAUGUCAAAAAAUCCAUAGAAGCUUAAUAAUUGGUAGCAAUUAUUAUUACUCAUUAGUGUGGGGGCUGGGAAGAUGACAACAGAGUAUAACUUGGAGGGUUGGUGUAGAGCAAUUAGCUAGCAACUGUAGUUUGAAUUUCCAUGAAGUAGUUCCCUUAAUUGUGUACACACAAACACAUCAAAACUGAAACCACAGCUAUGUGAUUUAAUAAUGUUGCACGUUUAGACAUGAUACAAGGCACUUUUGCCUACAUUAUCUUUCUGUGAGUUUAACAUUAGACCUGGUAUAAUUAUCCUAAAUUUACUACUAGAGAAUUUAGUUUGAAAAGUCAUGCAACUUUUCUAAAGAAUUUUUUCUGAUUUAAUAACACCAAUCAAUGAAUUAAUCAAUCAACUGUUCUGGCCAUUAAAUGUGUGAGAAAAAAAAGUCAGUGUAUUAAUUAUAAUUAUAUACCGAGACUUGGCUCUGUGUGUUUCACAAAAUAAGUAUAAAGUAUCAAAUUUGUUAUAAAUGUGUGACCCAUUAAAAGAAAAAAAAACUUGAUAGAUGUGUAUUUGGUAACAGCUUUUUAGAAAAUUUUUUGAACAUUUAUGAUGUUCAGAAAAGAACAGUGAUCAGUGUGCUAAAUUAAAUUACUUGAAUAAAUUAUGGAGAAAAAGUUCUGAUUUUUGUGCAAGGUUUGCAUUCUGGAUUGAGGUCCAGUUCUUUUUGAAGUAUCUGAAAUCAAACAUAUAUUUCCAAACCCUGAGGACUGAUUUCCUUCUGAAGACCACCCUCUCUUCUAUUUGAGGAACUCCAUAUUCCUUCUUGUAACACUACUCUGAUUCUAUAUCAAGCAAUCUUGGCCUUGUUAAGAUAAGAAAGUUGCCUUAAGCACUUUCCAAAGCUUUCCUACAUUCACUGUUGGUGGAUGGUGUCCCUACCCUACUUGUUCCCCUGCAGAACCUCAGAUUGGAGAUAUAAGGGGUGAAAUAACAGCCAAGUACCUCAGAGCUAAGUACUUUACAUAUAACUCAUUUAAUCCUCACAGCAUUGCUAUGGAACAAGUACUAUUAUUCAUCCCAGUUUACAGAUAGAAACUAAGGCAGAGAAAGGUUAAAUAAUCAAAGUUUACCUACUAGAUAACAGAGUGGGGGUAGAAACCAAGCCAUUCUGGCUUUUCCUGCUUGUAACACCAGGGUGGUAAAGGUGAAAAUUUGGGUUCAUUCUCACAGAGAAGAGGUUAUUAAGGCUCAGACUGGACAGAUAGCAUGGGAAUGAUGAGCAAGCAGGAAAUUUAAGAGUCAGAUCUUAGAAAAAUAUGACAAAGCCUAGAGACUGGCAACUGACAUGAUCUGAGAAAAGUGAGGAGGCCAGUGUUCCUUGUUUGGAAACAGGAGGAAUAAUGGGACCACUGGUUGAAAUGGAGUGCAAAUGUCUUAUAAGAAAAGGAAAAAAAUGACACCAACUUGACCCUCAAGUAUAUUUUGAGUAUAUUCUAUUUCUCUUUUCAUUAGAAGAAAUUUAAUUUGAGAAAUGAAUAGAGAAAGAAAGGGGAAAGGAGAAUGUUUCAAAGAAUAAGGUUAAAGUCAUCACAGCUUGACAGCAAUCUAAAAGUCAAAAAGUAUGCCAGAAUAGCAGGUAUUUGAGACCCACUGUUCGAAACAAUUUUAUUUUAAACACAUGUGGUUCCUUAAUGAUACUGGUAGCAUGGUGGUUGUGCAGCCCGCCUUUAGCAGGAAGUGCUGAUUUGCUUAAUUCUAUUAAGCCUAUAAGAAAGGUAAAUCUGUCUCCUGAACUUAAGGGGCCUCUGCUCUAAAGUAAGUUUGACAUUGGCCAAUAAUCACCCUGACAUUCUUGUGGCUUUGGCUGCUCUUGAAGCUGCUGAAUUGCACCAAGAGAAGAGGCUGAGUGAGAAAGCCUGGUUAUAGCAAUGGCCCAUCCUGUCAGUGCUGGGAGUGGGUACUAUACUCAAAGCAGUAUAAAUACAGAUGCUGCACAUUAUGCUCUGCUAUGCUGGCUGCCUUUGGGAUGAUUGUUGGGAAAGUUCUUGAAGCCAGUGGUGUUAGAGGGGACAGUGUGCUUCUUGAAACAAAAGAGUUGAUGGUGAGAAUGGUCUUUGAAAACUGUACUCUUUACAAAGGUGAACUCUGCAAACUGGGCCUACUGAAAGAAAUAGGGAUUCUAUUUUCAUUACUGUUUUAUCAUCAAAAUACCAUAAGGCCUGGCCCUUAGCAAAUAGUCCUUAAAUAUCUGAUACCAUUAGAAGCUUGCUUCUAUGAAGGGUGAUCACCCAUCCCAGUUUGCGUGGGACAGUCUUAGUUUACAUUAUUGUCCUUGCAUCCUGUUCAGCUGGUAUAUAUCCAAGUCUCUUAAUUUUUAUUCAAGUAUUAUUAUUAAUAGUUGUACAAAAAUAAGUCAGAAUAAGUUUGGUAGACCUCUACUUUAUUUCCAGCUUCUGUCAUUUUCUUCCUGGUAGUAGGUAUGAGACAUAUAUACAUGGAAAGAUAAUCAGCAGUAGCCUAUCUCUCUCCCUUUAAUUUUUUAAAGAACUUUCCAGAUUCAAGAAUGGACAAGGCACUCAGUUAUGAGCAACAAAUUCCUUUUGUCUUGGAGAUCAUGGAAGAAGUAUUAGAUGCUGCUCCCCUUAGUGUAACAGCCAGUUUUGUUGCAGCCUGUGGGGCCUGCAAGCUACACAAAACCACCAGGAUCCUAGAAGAGUCACUAGGAAACGUAGAGUAUUAUAGCUAGAUAAACAUCAUCACAUAUGUGUAAAAGAUAGAGACUGAACAGUCCAGUCUUAAAAUGUAUAGCAAAGUAGUUUGAAUGCUCUUGUUACAGUGAUUUUGUCAUCUACCAAUUUUAAGUGUGUAGUGAUUUAUCUAUCACAUUAUUUGGCAAUACUUUCUGAAUUUUGCAAUACAUGCAACAAUGACCUAAAAAAUGAAAGUGCAUGUUUAAUUUAAAAAUUAAAAGUAAAGCCAGGCGCAGUGGCUCACACCUGUAAUCCCAGCACUUUGGGAGGCUGAGGCGGGCGGAUUACCUGAGGUCGGGAGUUCAAGACCAGCCUGACCAACAUGGAGAAACCCUGUCUCUACUAAAAAUACAAAAUUGACUGGGCGUGGUGGUGCAUGCCUGUGGUCCCAGCUACUUGGGAGGCCGAAGCAGGAGAAUUGCUUGAACCUGGGAGGCGGAUGUUGCGGUGAGUGGAGAUCGCGCCAUUGCACUCCAGCCUGGGCAACAAGAGCAAAACUCUGUCUCAAAAAAAAAAAAAAAAA